UGGGGAAUAUUGCACAAUGGGCGCAAGCCUGAUGCAGCGACGCCGCGUGAGGGAUGACGGCCUUCGGGUUGUAAACCUCUUUCACCAGGGACGAAGCGCAAGUGACGGUACCUGGAGAAGAAGCACCGGCCAACUACGUGC
rnacentral:rRNA from 1 species